GUAUUUAAAACUAUGCAGAAAUCCUGCAUACAAGGGAUACGAAGACUUCCAAGAUGGACAAAUGGAGAACGAGAAACUAUAAGAAAUGCAGAGGCUCCAAAACUGGAAAAGCUUUCGUAUAUACAUUCUGGCACUUUGUCAUUGCUGGAGAAUGCUGAUUAGGCUGAAAUGGAAGAGACCAACGUCAUUCUUGCUUGAGAAGGGGGCAGUAUCCUCUCAAUGCUGCAAAAAUAUGCACCAAAUCAUUUAAGACACAGAAAUCUCUCUUGGUAGUGGCUGGAUUACAGACGAGGAUGAGAAGAACCACAGUCCUAUGGAUGUAUUAAUAACUAUUUUGAGACACUGAAAGACUGGUGCGACACAACAGUAUAUGAGUUAAGCCCCAGAAGAUCUGUCCAUAUUAUUAGUCUUGGACAAAAUGAACACCAGCUUCAUAGAUUGGAGUGUCACCUUUUCUGUAAAGAAGGCGCUUGAGUAGUCUGAAGUUUCUGUUUAUAUUUCUGUAUCUGCUUUGACCGUGAAUGCAGUUUGUUGAAAAGUUCACGAAAUUUAUACUGUGGAAAUAAGGUUUCCAAAAAGCCUUCCAGGAAGACAUAAACCAUUCUCCUAUUUAACUGGUUGUGCUGAAACAUUUCAAAAACACGAAGAAUACCUUUCCGUGUUGUCUCAGCCCCAAUAAUGUGCUUCAGUUCAUCUAAAUCAAGAGGGGGAAAAUAAACAUAAUUCAUUACUCAUAUAAAGGAAACGCAAGGCCUAAACUAUGCUCUAAGUUAAAUAAAGUAUAUUAAAUACAUAGUUGAGUAAUACAGGAGGUAUUCAGUUAAUGUGUUUUGGCUACAUAUUAUAACUGAGACUUAAAAUUUAAACAUCUGCAGGCAUCCACCUACUUACUAGACACUGGGGAUGAUAGAGCAAAGGAAAAAUCAGGAUCUGGACUCAGAAACCCCACGUUAGAGUUAGAAUCCCUUAAUACCUAUAUGGUACUUACCCAUCCUGAGUUUGUUUCCUUAUCUGUAAAAUGGGGAUUUACAAUAAGCAAACUCUUAUAACUGUAAGAAUUUAGAGAACUUUAAUGAAAUAAUGUGAAAAGUAAUCCACAAAGUCUGAAACACUGUACAAAUAGUCUUAAUGUAUCUAAUGCACAGUGAGAAAUACUAUAAGGAAAUGAUGUACGAAAGCUGAUUAAUGAAAAGCUUGCAAUGGUCAAAGUGCCAUGAAAAUACCGUAAGUAUAAAGAUGUUUACAGAGGGGCGAAUUUCACAUGGUACACAACAAGGAAAGGCUCUCUGUGUGGAAGUGACGAGUGAGGUAGACUUUGCUACCUGAGCAGGAUGUUGACAGGCACAAACAGAUGAUGGUUUACCUUUGGUGGAGAGAGCAAUGAGCAAAUGAGCCCUAAGUGGAAAAAACAAGGCAGUUCAAAAAAUGGGAGCGCUACAAUUCAGCUAAAUUUUAAGAUUCUUUGAGAAAAAAAAAAAAAAAAAAAAAAGUGGAGAGAAGAAUGGAAAAAA